CGUUGAAACACCGGUUUCCGUACGGUUACUAAAGUUAAGCAACGUCGAGGCUGGUCAUUACCUAGAUGGGUGAGCACUUGGGAAUACCAGGUGCUGUAAG